UACGGGGGGGGCAAGCGUUGUUCGGAAUUACUGGGCGUAAAGGGUUUGUAGGUGGCCGGCUAAGUCAGACGUGAAAUCCCUCAGCUUAACUGGGGAACUGCGUCUGGGACUGGUCGGCUUGAGGGCCGGAGAGGAACGCGGAAUUCCAGGUGUAGCGGUGAAAUGCGUAGAUAUCUGGAGGAACACCGGUGGCGAAGGCGGCAUCCUGGACCAACACUGACGCUGAGGUGCGAAAGCGUGGGGAGCAAACAGG
rnacentral:rRNA from 1 species